UGCCAGCAGCCGCGGUAAGACGGAGGGUGCUAGCGUUAUUCGGAAUUAUUGGGCGUAAAGGGCGCGCAGGCGGUCUUGUCCGUCAGGUGUGAAAGCUCGGGGCUCAACCCCGGAAGUGCACUUGAAACCGCAAGACUUGAAUACGGUAGAGGAGAGAGGAAUUCCCGGUGUAGCAGUGAAAUUCGUAGAUAUCAGGAGGAACACCGAUGGCGAAGGCAUCUCUCUGGACCGAUAUUGACGCUGAGGCGCGAAGGCGUGGGUAGCGAACGGGAUUAGAUA
rnacentral:rRNA from 1 species